GGACCUGACUGCUAUCGGAUUGAUACUAAGCCAUGCGAGUCAUUGUAGCAAUACAAGGCAUACGGCUCAGUAACGCGUAGUCAACCUAACCUAUGGACGGGAAUAACCUCGGGAAACUGAGAAUAAUGCCCGAUAGAACAUUAUGCCUGGAAUGGUUUAUGUUCCAAAUGAUUUAUCGCCGUAGGAUGGGACUGCGGCCUAUCAGUUUGUUGGUGAGGUAAUGGCCCACCAAGACUAUUACAGGUACGGGCUCUGAGAGGAGUAGCCCGGAGAUGGGUACUGAGACACGGACCCAGGCCCUAUGGGGCGCGAGCGAGGCGAGAAAACUUUGCGAAUGUGCGAAAGCACGACGAAGGUUGAAUCCGAGUGGUUUCUGCUGAAAGAAACCUUUUGUCGGUCCUAGAAACGCUGAUGGAUGAAGGGGUGGGCGAAGUUCUGGUGUCG
rnacentral:rRNA from 1 species